rnacentral:rRNA from 1 species
UACGAAGGGGGCUAGCGUUGCUCGGAAUCACUGGGCGUAAAGGGUGCGUAGGCGGGUCUUUAAGUCAGGGGUGAAAUCCUGGAGCUCAACUCCAGAACUGCCUUUGAUACUGAGGAUCUUGAGUUCGGGAGAGGUGAGUGGAACUGCGAGUGUAGAGGUGAAAUUCGUAGAUAUUCGCAAGAACACCAGUGGCGAAGGCGGCUCACUGGCCCGGUACUGACGCUGAGGUGCGAAAGCGCGGGGAGCAAACAGG